rnacentral:lncRNA from 7 species
GAUUUGGGCGCCGCGCCCGCGAUUCCACCUUCCUCAGUGUCCUCGACCUCCUACCCACCACUGCUGCCCAACAUGUCGCCCAGGAGGGUCGGCCGCCGGUGCUCGCAAGCGACAUCCCUUUCAGCUUCGCGCAACUCAGCCCACCACUCCCCACUCUGGCGCUGCUCAAGCGCUAGGUCAUGAUCGCAGUUGAAGGCUACACACUCCUCUAAGGAGCACCAGGAUGAGCGCCACAACUAUGUGUGACACAGGAGGAGAAACAAAGCGAAGCAAGCAAACUACAAGAACAAACUACUACUAGAGCAGGAGAAGCAAAGAAGCCAACUACAAGAACUAGGAGAGAAAACCAACGAAAGGAGAACGAACUAUAGAGGAAGAUGGGCGGGCAUUGCUGCAGAAGCUUCUGACUUCACUUCUAUUCCUAUUCCCCUCCCGUCUCUUUAGGUACACUUCUUGCUUGUUGUAAGCAAAAGCGUGUAAGAGC